GAAAACAUUUUCGGAGCAUAACUUAAGUUUCAUUUAACCCACAAUGUUCAAACUUCAUAGGAUGAUUGUCCAUAUUGGGUAGAAGACCCCUAUUGAUUUUGGGUCAAAAGGUCAAAGGUCAAGGUCACUAUUUCCUUAAUACUUAAAACAGUUUCCGUCCGUUAGCAAUUUGUCCAUUAGCAAUUUGGUUUCCGGAGCAUAACUUAAGUUCCAUUUGGUCCUAAAUGUUCAAACUUCAUAGGAUGAUUGUCCAUAUUGGGUAGAAGACCGCUAUUGAUUUUGGGGUCAAAAGGUCAAAGGUCACUAUUACCUUGAUACUGCAAACAGUUUCCGUCCGUUAGCAAUUUGUCCGUUAACAAUUUGGUUUCCGGAUAACUUAAGUUCCAUUUGGCCCACAAUGUUCAAACUUCAUAGGAUGAUUGUACAUUUUGGGUAGAAGACCCCUAUUGAUUUUUUGGUCAAAACGUCAAAGGUCAAGGUCACUAUUACCUUAAAACUAAAAACAGUUUCCGAAACAUAACUUAAGUUCCAUUUGACCCACAAUGUUCAAACUUCAUAGGAUGAUUGUCCAUAUUGGGUAGAAGACCCCUAUUGAUUUUGGGGUCAAAAGUUCAAAGGUCAAGGGCACUAUUACCUUGAUACUGAAAACAGUUUCCGUCCGUAAGCAAUUUGUCCGUUAGCAAUUUGGUUUCCGGAGCAUAACUUAAGUUCCAUUUGGCCCACAAUGUUCAAACUUCAUAGGAAGAUUGUCCAUAUUGGGUAGAAGAUCCCUAUUGAUUUUGGGGUCCAAAGGUCAAGGUCACUAUUACUUAAAACUGAAAACAUUUUCGGAGCAUAACUUAAGUUUCAUUUAACCCACAAUGUUCAAACUUCAUAGGAUGAUUGUCCAUAUUGGGUAGAAGACCCCUAUUGAUUUUAGGGUCACAAGGUCAAAGGUUAAGGUCAUUAUUAAUAACUUAAGUAUUAAUCAACGUACAUCUGUAAAAUUUUAUAGGAUGAACAGCUAAUUCCCAUGUCUUACAAAUGCUUCAUCCUUACUAAAAAAAAAAACACUUUCGGGCAUAUAAUGCUCCGGCUAGCGAUGCUCUUGUUUAUCAAUAUGGCAAUUGGUUUUAAAGAUUUGUUUUCUUAAAUAUGGAUAUUAUUGAAUCAUCCUUGACAUCAGUAUUCUCAUUUUUUUAGCUCACAUUAGCAAAAGGUCAGCUAUUACAGACAGUCAAAGAUUCCUGGUCUGUCCGUCAUCCAUAUUUCAAUAAUGUCAUAUUAAACUACUCAGUUUUGAAAACGUCAAAAAUUCUCAUUUACUGUGUGCAAGAACGCUUUAAAUUGAUUUGGUCUUUUGCAUGAUAAGGUCACAGUAGGUAACAAAAGAUUAGAUAUUACAACCAUCCUUUUCUCUUAUUGUCCCAUUUGCUUGUUUUGCAUUAUUAAAGCCAUUUCCUCAUGCUCCCAUUGCAUUUGUAAUGUUUCUUUGCAAAAAAGUAAAUAACAGAAUUUGAAAAAUUUAUUUUUGACUGUUACAGGCUUAUUAAAAAUAUAAUACGCAAACUAUUAAAAGUACUUUAUUUUGUAUUUUUUUAAUCUCAGAAAUUUUUUAAAUUAAAGUAUUUUACAAAAAUACCUAUAUUUUCUUCUUAAAUUUCAUGAAAUAAACAUGUUCCAAGUUUCACUUUUCAUCAUGUGAAAAACUGAAAUGCUUUAGCUAGGUAAUCUGUCUGUCAUUACAUUUGAAGCUUAUGUAGCAAUAUAGUAUUCUAGGUAUUGUUACUGUAUGUAUAUUCAUUAUCACAUAAUUCUCUCAUCAUGUUAAGGAUCUAGUCAUGAAUGUACUGCAUGCAUUCAUAUUUUGGAUGUAUAUUUUAUUGUACCACUUAGAUAAUGUAAUAAAGUUGUUCUCAUUUA